AAUUAACUUGUACAAAGGCUCGAAAUUAGCAAGACUUGCCACUGUGUUUCUCUAACCAUCAUUUUUUGCUGAUGACAAAUGUCUACUAUCAUUGUUAAUAAAAAAUGUUUUCAUCAUUUUUAAAUCAAAAUAUGGAAAUAAGUUUCUGAUAAUUGGAGGUUGAACACUUCAUGUACGUAUCUCACUGCACAGUAUUGUUAAUGUUUACAGGAGUGCUAUAAAAAAUUAAAAAAAAAAAAAAAAACCCACC
rnacentral:misc_RNA from 1 species